rnacentral:rRNA from 1 species
UGGGGAAUAUCGGACAAUGGGCGAAAGCCUGAUCCAGCCAUGCCGCGUGUGUGAAGAAGGUCUUCGGAUUGUAAAGCACUUUCAGUUGGGAGGAAGGGCAUUAACCUAAUACGUUAGUGUUUUGACGUUACCGACAGAAUAAGCACCGGCUAACUCUGUGCCAGCAGCCGCGGUAAUACAGAGGGUGCAAGCGUUAAUCGGAAUUACUGGGCGUAAAGCGCGCGUAGGUGGUUUGUUAAGUUGGAUGUGAAAUCCCCGGGCUCAACCUGGGAACUGCAUUCAAAACUGACUGACUAGAGUAUGGUAGAGGGUGGUGGAAUUUCCUGUGUAGCGGUGAAAUGCGUAGAUAUAGGAAGGAACACCAGUGGCGAAGGCGACCACCUGGACUAAUACUGACACUGAGGUGCGAAAGCGUGGGGAGCAAACA